rnacentral:rRNA from 1 species
UACGUAGGGCGCAAGCGUUAUCCGGAAUUAUUGGGCGUAAAGAGCUUGUAGGCGGUUUGUCGCGUCUGCUGUGAAAUCUCAAGGCUCAACCUUGAGCUUGCAGUGGGGUACGGGCAGACUAGAGUGUGGUAGGGGAGACUGGAAUUUCCGGUGGAGCGGUGAAAUGCGUAGAGAUCGGAAAGAACACCAACGGCGAAAAGCACUCUGCUGGGCCGACACUGACACUGAGAGACGAAAGCUAGGGGGAGCGAAAUGGG